UUCCGUAGGUGAACCUGCGGAAGGAUCAUUACACUCAGUAGUUUACUACUGUAAAAGGGGCUGUUAGUCUGUAUAGCGCAAGCUGAUGAGCAGCUGGCCUCUUUUAUCCACCCUUGUCUUUUGCGUACCCACGUUUCCUCGGCAGGCUUGCCUGCCGGUUGGACAAAUUUAUAACCUUUUUAAUUUUCAAUCAGCGUCUGAAAAACUUAAUAAUUACAACUUUCAACAACGGAUCUCUUGGUUCUGGCAUCGAUGAAGAACGCAGCGAAAUGCGAUAAGUAGUGUGAAUUGCAGAAUUCAGUGAAUCAUCGAAUCUUUGAACGCACAUUGCGCCCCUUGGUAUUCCAUGGGGCAUGCCUGUUCGAGCGUCAUUUGUACCCUCAAGCUCUGCUUGGUGUUGGGUGUUUGUCCUCUCCCUAGUGUUUGGACUCGCCUUAAAAUAAUUGGCAGCCAGUGUUUUGGUAUUGAAGCGCAGCACAAGUCGCGAUUCGUAACAAACACUUGCGUCCACAAGCCUUUUUAACUUUUGACCUCGGAUCAGGUAGGGAUACCCGCUGAAC
rnacentral:rRNA from 1 species